GACGAACGCUGGCGGCGUGCUUAACACAUGCAAGUCGAACGAUGAAGCCGGAGCUUGCUCCGGUGGAUUAGUGGCGAACGGGUGAGUAACACGUGAGCAAUCUGCCCUUGACUCUGGGAUAACUGCGGGAAACUGUAGCUAAUACCGGAUACGACAAUUUGGGGCAUCCCAGGGUGUGGAAAGAAUUUCGGUCAAGGAUGAGCUCGGGGCCUCUCAGCUAGUUGGUGAGGUAAUGGCUCACCAAGGCGACGACGGGUAGCCGGCCUGAGAUGGUGACCGGCCACAAUGUGACUGAGACACGGCCCAGACUCCUACGGGAGGCAGCAGUGGGGAAUAAUGCACGAUGGGCGCAAGCCUGAUGCAGCAACGCCGCGUGAGGGAUGAAGGCUUUCUGGUUGUAAACCUCUUUUAGCAGGGAAGAAGCGAAAGUGACGGUACCUGCAGAAAAAGCACCGGCUAACUACGUGCCAGCCGCCGCUGUAA
rnacentral:rRNA from 1 species